UAUGUACCUUAAAAGCAAUCAUGGUGCGAGCUUCUUUUCUUUGUGUUCAGUUGAUAUUCCUCGUUGGAAUCGCCACUUGUAUGGCAAAUUCUCAAGACCUGAAUGGCCCCUUUAAACCCGUUGGUAGUGAUGUAGUCAGGCUCAUUACUGAAGCAACUAUAGAAGAUUAUAACGAAAUACUCGCGCUUAACUAUCCACGUAGUUUUGUACAUCUCACGAAGAUAACCAAUUUUAAAUUCGAAUUUCCAACCAUGUUUCCAAGUUAUAAUUUAAGAGUUUGGUUUGAAGUCACCAAAUAUUCGGAACUACCAUCUGCGCUGCCAAUUGUUAUUGAGACGAAGGUGCCGUGUUAUAUGUUCGUUUCUGAAUCUUUAGGUAAAGACAUAGUAAAGUAUAUUUAUUGUAACCCAGAUCCACAACAUAGGGCAUAAUGAAAUCAGAUGAUGAGAAUGUGGCAAAACUUGUGGGCAUAAACAAGUCUUAAUACUAUUAGAAAUACUUCCAACGCUAUAACCUCUCAUAUAUAAACUUUAAACUAUAAAUUUAACUAAACAAACUGUUGCUUUUAUAAUGCGAAAUAUGAAAUUAUAUAGUUAGAUUUAAACUUUCAGGAUUUCACACAUUAUUAGAUUUUUAAUUCGGGAAUUAAUCACGUACAAAUAUAUUUUAAUUACCUCGACUUUUCGGACGUAUUGCAAUGUCCAUGGCCUCAAGAGGCACCCGCCAGCAUCUUCUAGCCGUGCGAGUUUUACUAACGACCCGCACUCGAUCUUUAUUAUUUAAGUGCGGUCCUCUCCCGAUUUAAAAAUCGAAUAAUGCAAUUAUAUAUCAACAACACAAAGUUGAUUUUGAAUAAAGAAUUUC